rnacentral:rRNA from 1 species
CACUCCUACGGGAGGCAGCAGUGGGGAAUUUUGGACAAUGGGCGAAAGCCUGAUCCAGCAAUGCCGCGUGUGUGAAGAAGGCCUUCGGGUUGUAAAGCACUUUUGUCCGGAAAGAAAUCCUUGGCUCUAAUACAGUCGGGGGAUGACGGUACCGGAAGAAUAAGCACCGGCUAACUACGUGCCAGCAGCCGCGGUAAUACGUAGGGUGCGAGCGUUAAUCGGAAUUACUGGGCGUAAAGCGUGCGCAGGCGGUUUGCUAAGACCGAUGUGAAAUCCCCGGGCUCAACCUGGGAACUGCAUUGGUGACUGGCAGGCUAGAGUAUGGCAGAGGGGGGUAGAAUUCCACGUGUAGCAGUGAAAUGCGUAGAGAUGUGGAGGAAUACCGAUGGCGAAGGCAGCCCCCUGGGCCAAUACUGACGCUCAUGCACGAAAGCGUGGGGAGCAAACAGGAUUAGAUACCCCAGUAGUCCCAUG